GAUGCAGCAGCUUGUUCCUUCCGUGGUGAGACUUCCUUGGAGACUGUCUUCACUGGGCUUUCAGGCAUGCUGUAGCGGGCCAGUGAGUGUUGCCCCAUCCCCCAGAGGAGGUCAUUAGUAGAACAGGGAGUCGAACUCCAUACAGGUUUCUGCAUCCUGUUCUUCCCUCUCGCUGCUACAGAGAGAGCUCUGGGCUGAGGAGCAUCCAACCCAUGUGAAUGCACCUCAACACCAGGAAGAUGCAGAGGAAUCAUAGAGAAUCUGGAGAAGCACAGCUAGCAUGAUUAAAGGGUUGAAGGAUUGACUUAUUAGGGAAGAAGAUUAAAGGAGCUAAAUAUGGG